UACAGAGGCCUCGAGCGUUGUUCGGAAUUACUGGGCGUAAAGGGAGUGUAGGUGGUGAUGUAAGUCAGAUGUGAAAGCCCUGGGCUUAACCCGGGAAGUGCAUUUGAUACUGCAUCGCUAGAGUGCGAGAGAGGAUAGCGGAAUUCCCAGUGUAGGAGUGAAAUCCGUAGAUAUUGGGAGGAAUACCGAUGGCGUAGGCAGCUAUCUGGCUCGUAACUGACACUGAGACUCGAAAGCGUGGGUAGCAAACAGG
rnacentral:rRNA from 1 species